ACGCUCGACACCUACGGGAGCAGCAGUGGGGGAUAUUGCACAAUGGGGGAAACCCUGAUGCAGCAACGCCGCGUGAAGGAAGAAGGUCUUCGGAUUGUAAACUUCUGUCCUCAGGGAAGAUAAUGACGGUACCUGAGGAGGAAGCUCCGGCUAACUACGUGCAGCAGCCGCGGUAAUCUGAGCGGGCUGGCAAGGC
rnacentral:rRNA from 1 species